rnacentral:rRNA from 1 species
GAUGAACGCUGGCGGCGUGCCUAAUACAUGCAAGUCGAGCGAACAGACGAGGAUCUUGCUCCUCUGACGUUAGCGGCGGACGGGUGAGUAACACGUGGAUAACCUACCUAUAAGACUGGGAUAACUUCGGGAAACCGGAGCUAAUACCGGAUAAUAUAUUGAACCGCAUGGUUCAAUAGUGAAAGACGGUUUUGCUGUCACUUAUAGAUGGAUCCGCGCCGCAUUAGCUAGUUGGUAAGGUAACGGCUUACCAAGGCAACGAUGCGUAGCCGACCUGAGAGGGUGAGCGGCCACACUGGAACUGAGACACGGUCCAGACUCCUACGGGAGGCAGCAGUAGGGAAUCUUCCGCAAUGGGCGAAAGCCUGACGGAGCAACGCCGCGUGAGUGAUGAAGGUCUUCGGAUCGUAAAACUCUGUUAUUAGGGAAGAACAAAUGUGUAAGUAACUAUGCACGUCUUGACGGUACCGAAUCAGAAAGCCACGGCUAACUACGUG